CCUUGACAUCUGACAAAUAGCUCAGUUGGUAGAGCAUGGGACUCUUAAUCUAAAGGUUGUGGGUUCGAGCCCCACAUUGAGGG